CAAGAGGAGUUCGAGGAAGAAGAAGAAGAUAUCCCCCAGUUCAUACUCCGGAAGAUGAGGGUGAUGAUGAUGAUGAGGAUGAGGAUGAUGAUGAUGAGUGAUGGCUAUGAAAGGGCCUCCCCUUUUUGGAGCUUGAUGCCAAAGGGGGAGUGAGCUCACCAUGGACAAUAUGGUGGUGGUUGCUAUCUUUUUAUGAGUUUUUAGUUUGUGGGCUUGUGGACAUGUAAGAAUUUUUAUGUGGUUUGAUGCAUGGUGUGCCAAGUGAACUUUUAAGUUUGUAAGACUUAUUCCAGAUUUGCUAUGUUAGUGUGGAUCUAUAACUUUAUUCAUAUGUGAUGAUCAUGGCUUGGUGUAUUGUAUAUUUUUCACUUUGUUAAAGUGUUAUAUCUUGUCAUAUGCAUCACAAUGAUAUUUAUGUCACACCUUUGCACCCCACGAAUG
rnacentral:lncRNA from 1 species